AAUCCCAAUGAUAGUUCAUUGCAUGACACACACGUGUCCAUAAUUUUGUCUCCCUCCGCUCAAACUCUCAUCUCUUUCUUUCUUUGAUACUCUCUAUGCCUCCCUUUCUCUCCCUCUUUGUUCUUUUUGUUUUCUUUGUUCCGGCGAAAGAACUCCAUGGAGAACUUGCCUGGCCUCCGAUGCGCAGGAUGCGGCUCCGGAGCUUGUGGACUCGCUGAAAUGGCACGGAUUAUACAGACCAUCAAGGGUUUUGUUUACGAUCAAGGAAGACAGAGAAGAUGCGGAGUCUCAGAAAUCAUCGGCGGAGAGGAAGCUGAAGAAGAGGCAGUCUUUGGAAGACUGGAGGAACCAGCGUCAGGUUCGCUGCUCUCAAGCACGCUCCGAUGUCGUUCAGCUUCUCAACCUCGGACACCAUGAACGUGCUAUCCUUGGUGUUGAGCAUGUGAUCAAAGACCAGAACAUGCUGGACGUGUUUGUUAUGAUUGAGGGAUACUGCAAUCUCCUGAUAGAAAGGAUCGUCCUCAUUGAGAACAACAAAGAAUGACCUGAUGAGUUGAAGGAGGCGAUAUCAAGUUUGAUUUUUGCUGUUUCAAGAUGUGGCGAGUUUCCAGAGCUCCAAGAGAUACAUGCGGUCUUCACUUCACGAUUUGGGAAGGAAUUUGCUGCACGAGCUGUUGAAUUAGGCAACAGUUGCGAGGUGAAUCCCAUGGUAGGGCUGUGGUGCUCAUUUCAAGAUGAUACAGAAGAUGUCCACACGAUCGCCAAAUACGGAGAGCAGAAUGAAGGUGCUAAAAGAAAUUGCUACCGAGAACGGGAUCACUCUGUAUCUUGAGGAAGUUUCUUCUGAUGCUACCAAGGAGAAAUUGGAGAGGAAUCAGAGGAAGAAUCAUCCCAAGCAAGGCCCAUCUUCUAACUUAGAUGAUGCUGGGCUUGGAGAGAAGACACAUAAUUUUGUAGAGGAGAAAGAAAAGGAUGAGCAGUUCACUCCAAGAUCAAUGAAAUCAGGAAGUACAGAGAUGUUGCCACUGCAGCACAAGAUGCUUUUGAAUAAGCAGCUUUUGCAGCAGCAGUAACUAGAGCCGCUGUAGAGCUCUCUAGGUCUGAAUCUCGUGACAGUGGCGGUGGUGAAAUCGCUUUCAGUUCGAGGAGGGCGGUGUCAGGGAGAGAGAGAAUGAGCGAGCCAGAGAGAAGGGGGAGACAGGGAGAGAGAGAGAGAGGUUGAGAGGGGGACACCGUUCACGACGCCUUGUGGUUCCUUCUCCACCUCGUGAGGUGCAAAGGAGCGUAGGUCUGGCAAAUCAGCGCCCCAUAGGGCGUGCCCCACAUCUUCUCUUUGGAAUGCAUACUCUCAUUCUCCUCUUUGUUCUUCUCAGAUUUGUUAGUUCUUCUCUGUUAUGGGUUUUUGUUUUUUGGUUGUUUUCUUUUGCUUUUGUUGGUUGAUUUGUUAGUUCUUCUCUGUUAUGGGUUCUGUUUUUAGGUUGUUUUCUUUUCCUUUUGUUGGUUGGUAGGCGUUGCAGUGGCUUCCUUCUCUGACGGAGAUGGCUUUAUAUCUAGUGCAUGGUAAGGGUUGCAAUUCGUCUGUUGGUUGUUCCCUUAUUGACACUGUGGUUACUGUGAUUCAUGAUGCCAAUGGUGACACACAGUGGUUACUGUGGUUCAUGGUGCCAAUGGUGACACACACGCACAUAGAGAGAGAGAGAGAGAGAGUCUACUCUUCGUUCUUCUUUGAAUUGGCAUGACGGCACCAACGAGAGAUACUUUAAGCUUCUUUGAGGUAAGUCGUAGCCCUAAAGUUUCUGCAUUUCUUUUGUCUCUCUUCCAAAUGUAUAUGAGAAACAUUCGUCUGCUUAGGGAUUUUGGUUCUUACAAAUUUUCUACGUAUUGGUGCCAUGGGGGCCUUCGAAGGUUCCUAUUUGAGUUAUGAUCCCUAAUUACACCUCCAAUGCAUUGAAGUCUAUGUGAACCACGACUCUGGUGUUUCAAUUGCUACUUGAUACCUUUUGUUGUUUGUGUCCAGGGAUUCCAUUUUCCCUGGAUCUGGAGUCAGGGCUCUUUCUUUGAGCUUUAUCAAAUUUAUUCCUUCAUCUAGACCAACUGUUUUGCGACCUUGUAGAGUUUAGCUAGCAGUGAAGCUACUACUAUAAUGGAUUCUUGUUGUGCAACCUUGAAUCCCAAUGCCCAUCCUGUAGAAGUUAGGAAAGGGCUUAUUAAUGCAUACCAAGUUGGCGAAGAGUUUGAGAGCUAAUAAUGGAGAUAGAAAAAUCAAAACUGGCAUUGCUUUCUCUGUUCUUUGGGAUAUCAAUAACGAUAUUGUGGUAAGUAAUGCAGUACAUAGCUCAUUUCCUUCUUCAAUAAACUAAUUAAAUACGUGCUUGUUUUCUUCAUAUUUAUCACAAUUACCCAAAAAAUAGGUCACUUUCAAAUUCUAGAAUAGUUAAAUUCUUCAUUUUAUGUCCAAGUUGAACAUAGAAUUGGUAUUGAUUUUCAUGGAUCCUUUCCUGGGUUGCAAUUUUUUGUGAUUAUAUGAUUAAAUUGCCAAGAAAAGUGAUCAAAUUAAAGGUUCCUUUCUACUCAGAUUAUUUUAUCUGAAUAUUCUCUCACCCUUUCAUUUAUGUUUUGACUUCAAAGUGAGACAACCCAAGCACCACUAUGUGGGAGGCAGAAGGUAGACCAAAAGAAAGAUGCUUAUAGGCUGACCUGUGAGACCCACCUCGGAAAGACAGAAGCGGCUGCACUUUAACCCUCCUAAAUGGGCACAUAGGUACAAUCCUGGGUCAAGACUAGUCUGGAUGCAAAAUGUAAGGCCAGGCCUAAAAACUUGCUAGGCCAGAUGGGAUGAGCUUCUCCACCAAGUUUGGGAUGACAGCCAUUAGUUUUUAAAUUUAUUUGUCAUUUUAAAUACAAUAGAUGGAUUCUGAUUAAAUUUAAAUUCAUGAUAUCAGAUUUCAUAACAGAUUUGAAUCUAAAGGUUUGGUAAUUGGAUCUUAGAUGGGGAUGUAGCUGGAUCGAAUCUGUUUACAUCCUUCCAUCGGAGCACUUUAAAAUGGGAAUGAACAAAAGAGAGUUUGGUUUGUCAUUUGUAUACAAUGCACUAGCAUUUUGAGUAUCACCUCAUGGUAUUAUGUUUAUUUCUUUCAUUUGAAUGCAUAUGUAUUCAUAAGGGUGUGUUUACAUGUAGAUGCAUGAUAAACUGAGCAGGUUUAACAGGUUAUGAUUUAUUUCAUUUUCUUUUUUCAGGUCAACUGUGCAGAAACAUUGCAAAGUUUGUUGGUGAAACUCUGAAUAGUAAGUGAUGUAUGAUGUCUUGUACAUAAGGGUGUCAAUGGACCGGUUUUGGAUUGGACCCCCUCUAGUCCAAAAUCAAUUUGGACAGACCAACAAGA